CAGCCGCCGCGGGAAUACAGAGGGUGCGAGCGUUAAUCGGAAUUACUGGGCGUAAAGCGCGCGUAGGUGGUUUGUUAAGUUGGAUGUGAAAUCCCCGGGCUCAACCUGGGAACUGCAUUCAAAACUGACUGACUAGAGUAUGGUAGAGGGUGGUGGAAUUUCCUGUGUAGCGGUGAAAUGCGUAGAUAUAGGAAGGAACACCAGUGGCGAAGGCGACCACCUGGACUAAUACUGACACUGAGGUGCGAAAGCGUGGGGAGCAAACAGGAUUAGAGACCCCGGUAGUCCCUGUCUCUUAUAC
rnacentral:rRNA from 1 species